rnacentral:rRNA from 2 species
UUGACCGCCNUGGAGACAGGGUCUUCCCUUCGGGGACAGGAUGACAGGUGGUGCAUGGUUGUCGUCAGCUCGUGUCGUGAGAUGUUGGGUUAAGUCCCGCAACGAGCGCAACCCUUGGUUCUAGUUGCCAGCAUUCAGUUGGGCACUCUAGAGCGACUGCCGGCGACAAGUCGGAGGAAGGUGGGGAUGACGUCAAAUCAUCAUGCCCCUUAUGACCUGGGCUACACACGUGCUACAAUGGAUGGUACAAAGGGCAGCGAAGCGGCGACGCAUAAGCGAAUCCCAGAAAACCAUUCUCAGUUCGGAUUGCAGGCUGCAACUCGCCUGCAUGAAGCCGGAAUCGCUAGUAAUCGCGGAUCAGCAUGCCGCGGUGAAUACGUUCCCGGGCCUUGUACACACCGCCCGUCACACCACGAGAGUUUGUAACACCCGAAGUCGGUGAGGAACNGUAAGAGG